rnacentral:rRNA from 1 species
CCUACGGGGGGCAGCAGUGGGGAAUAUUGCGCAAUGGGCGAAAGCCUGACGCAGCGACGCCGCGUGAGGGAUGAAGGUCUUCGGAUCGUAAACCUCUGUCAGCAGGGAAGAACGGUCACUGUGCUAAUCAGCAGUGAAUUGACGGUACCUGCAAAGGAAGCAACGGCUAACUCCGUGCCAGCAGCCGCGGUAAUACGGAGGGUGCGAGCGUUAACCGGAAUUACUGGGCGUAAAGCGGUCGUAGGCGGCAUGUAAAGUCAAGGGUGAAAUCCCCGCGCUCAACGUGGGAACGGCCUUUGAAACUGGGAGACUGGAGUGUGGGAAGGGAGAGUGGAAUUCCUGGUGUAGGGGUGAAAGCCGUAGAUAUCUGGAGGAACAUCAGGGGCGAGGGCGACUAUCUGGCACAUAACUGACGCUGAGGAGCGAAAGCGUGGGGAGCAAACAGGAUUAGAUACCCCGGUAGUC